UUACGGUCAUAUCACGUUGAAACAUCGGUUCAGGUACGAACGCCGAAGUAAAGCAACGUCGAGCUUGGUCAAUAACUAGAUGGGUAACCGCUUGGGAAUACCAAGUGCUGCAAG